rnacentral:rRNA from 1 species
CUUAAGUGAUCCGCCUGGGGAGUACGUCCGCAAGGAUGAAACUCAAAGGAAUUGACGGGGACCCGCACAAGCGGUGGAGUAUGUUCUUUAAUUCGAUGCAACGCGAAGAACUUUACCUGGGCUUGACAUCACCGAAAUCACCUUUAUACGGUGAGUGCCUCGAUUUAUCGAGGAAUCGUGUGACAGGUGCUGCAUGGCUGUCGUCAGUUCGUGUCGUGAGAUGUUGGGUUAAGUCCCGCAACGAACGCAACCCCUGUCUUUAGUUACCAGCAUUAAGUUGGGGACUCUAGAGAGACUGCCAAGGUGACAACUUGGAGGAAGGUGGGGACGACGUCAAGUCAUCAUGGUCCUUACGUCCAGGGCUAGAAACGUACUACAAUGGUUGGCACAGAGGGCAGCAACACAGCGAUGUGAAGCAAAUCCUUAAAACCAACCUCAGUUCGGAUUGGAGUCUGCAACUCGNCUCCANGAAGUUGGAAUCGCUAGUAAUCGCGGAUCAGCAAUGCCGCGGAUGAAUACGUUCCCGGGUCUUGUACACACCGCCCGUCAAUC